rnacentral:rRNA from 1 species
CGAUAGCUAAUACCGCAUAACGUCCUGUUCAUUACGAGCGGGACCAAAGAGGGGACCUUCGGGCCUCUCGCGCUAAGAUUAGCCCAGGUGGGAUUAGCUAGUUGGUGAGGUAAAGGCUCACCAAGGCAACGAUCCCUAGCUGGUCUGAGAGGAUGAUCAGCCACACUGGAACUGAGACACGGUCCAGACUCCUACGGGAGGCAGCAGUGGGGAAUAUUGCACAAUGGGGGAAACCCUGAUGCAGCCAUGCCGCGUGUAUGAAGAAGGCCUUCGGGUUGUAAAGUACUUUCAGUCGUGAGGAAGGCAUUGUAGUUAAUAGCUGCAGUGCUUGACGUUAGCGACAGAAGAAGCACCGGCUAACUCCGUG